GACGAACGCUGGCGGCGUGCCUAAUACAUGCAAGUAGGACGCACAGUUUAUACCGUAGCUUGCUACACCAUAGACUGUGAGUUGCGAACGGGUGAGUAACGCGUAGGUAACCUGCCUAUUAGAGGGGGAUAACUAUUGGAAACGAUAGCUAAUACCGCAUAACAGUAUGUAACACAUGUUAGAUGCUUGAAAGAUGCAAUUGCAUCGCUAGUAGAUGGACCUGCGUUGUAUUAGCUAGUAGGUAGGGUAAUGGCCUACCUAGGCGACGAUACAUAGCCGACCUGAGAGGGUGAUCGGCCACACUGGGACUGAGACACGGCCCAGACUCCUACGGGAGGCAGCAGUAGGGAAUCUUCGGCAAUGGGGGGAACCCUGACCGAGUAACGCCGCGUGAGUGAAGAAGGUUUUCGGAUCGUAAAGCUCUGUUGUUAAGGAAGAACGAGUGUGAAAAUGGAAAGUUCAUACUGUGACGGUACUUAACCAGAAAGGGACGGCUAACUACGUGCCAGCAGCCGCGGUAAUACGUAGGUCCCGAGCGUUGUCCGGAUUUAUUGGGCGUAAAGCGAGCGCAGGCGGUUAGAAAAGUCUGAAGUGAAAGGCAGUGGCUCAACCAUUGUAGGCUUUGGAAACUGUUUAACUUGAGUGCGGAAGGGGAGAGUGGAAUUCCAUGUGUAGCGGUGAAAUGCGUAGAUAUAUGGAGGAACACCGGUGGCGAAAGCGGCUCUCUGGUCUGUAACUGACGCUGAGGCUCGAAAGCUUGGGGAGCGAACAGG
rnacentral:rRNA from 1 species